AACGAACGCUGGCGGCAGGCUUAACACAUGCAAGUCGAACGGUAGCACAGAGAGCUUGCUCUCGGGUGACGAGUGGCGGACGGGUGAGUAAUGUCUGGGAAACUGCCUGAUGGAGGGGGAUAACUACUGGAAACGGUAGCUAAUAGCGCAUAACGUCGCAAGACCAAAGAGGGGGACCUUCGGGCCUCUUGCCAUCAGAUGUGCCCAGAUGGGAUUAGCUAGUAGGUGGGGUAACGGCUCACCUAGGCGACGAUCCCUAGCUGGUCUGAGAGGAUGACCAGCCACACUGGAACUGAGACACGGUCCAGACUCCUACGGGAGGCAGCAGUGGGGAAUAUUGCACAAUGGGCGCAAGCCUGAUGCAGCCAUGCCGCGUGUAUGAAGAAGGCCUUCGGGUUGUAAAGUACUUUCAGCGGGGAGGAAGGCGAUAAGGUUAAUAACCUUGUCGAUUGACGUUACCCGCAGAAGAAGCACCGGCUAACUCCGUGCCAGCCGCCGCCGUAACAC
rnacentral:rRNA from 1 species